UACGUAGGGGGCGAGCGUUAUCCAGAUUUACUGGGCGUAAAGGGCUCGUAGGCGGCCAACUAAGUCAGACGUGAAAUCCCUCGGCUUAACCGGGGAACUGCGUCUGAUACUGGAUGGCUUGAGUUUGGGAGAGGGAUGCGGAAUUCCAGGUGUAGCGGUGAAAUGCGUAGAGAUCCGGAGGAACACCAGUGGCGAAGGCGACACGCUGGGCCGUACCUGACACUGAACCGCGACAGCAUGGGGAGCAAACAGG
rnacentral:rRNA from 1 species